rnacentral:rRNA from 1 species
GGAAACAGGUGCUAAUACCGGAUAAGAAAGCAGAUCGCAUGAUCAGCUUUUAAAAGGCGGCGUAAGCUGUCGCUAUGGGAUGGCCCCGCGGUGCAUUAGCUAGUUGGUAAGGUAAAGGCUUACCAAGGCGAUGAUGCAUAGCCGAGUUGAGAGACUGAUCGGCCACAUUGGGACUGAGACACGGCCCAAACUCCUACGGGAGGCAGCAGUAGGGAAUCUUCCACAAUGGACGCAAGUCUGAUGGAGCAACGCCGCGUGAGUGAAGAAGGUUUUCGGAUCGUAAAGCUCUGUUGUUGGUGAAGAAGGAUAGAGGUAGUAACUGGCCUUUAUUUGACGGUAAUCAACCAGAAAGUCACGGCUAACUACGUGCCAGCAGCCGCGGUAAUACGUAGGUGGCAAGCGUUGUCCGGAUUUAUUGGGCGUAAAGCGAGCGCAGGCGGAAGAAUAAGUCUGAUGUGAAAGCCCUCGGCUUAACCGAGGAACUGCAUCGGAAACUGUUUUUCUUGAGUGCAGAAGAGGAGAGUGGAACUCCAUGUGUAGCGCUGGAAUGCGUA